rnacentral:rRNA from 1 species
GUCACUUAUAGAUGGAUCCGCGCCGUAUUAGCUAGUUGGUAAGGUAACGGCUUACCAAGGCAACGAUACGUAGCCGACCUGAGAGGGUGAUCGGCCACACUGGAACUGAGACACGGUCCAGACUCCUACGGGAGGCAGCAGUAGGGAAUCUUCCGCAAUGGGCGAAAGCCUGACGGAGCAACGCCGCGUGAGUGAUGAAGGUCUUCGGAUCGUAAAACUCUGUUAUCAGGGAAGAACAAAUGUGUAAGUAACUGUGCACAUCUUGACGGUACCUGAUCAGAAAGCCACGGCUAACUACGUGCCAGCAGCCGCGGUAAUACGUAGGUGGCAAGCGUUAUCCGGAAUUAUUGGGCGUAAAGCGCGCGUAGGCGGUUUUUUAAGUCUGAUGUGAAAGCCCACGGCUCAACCGUGGAGGGUCAUUGGAAACUGGAAAACUUGAGUGCAGAAGAGGAAAGUGGAAUUCCAUGUGUAGCGGUGAAAUGCGCAGAGAUAUGGAGGAACACCAGUGGCGAAGGCGACUUUCUGGUCUGUAACUGACGCUGAUGUGCGAAAGCGUGGGGAGCAAACAGGAUUAGAUACCCUGGUAGUCCACGCCGUAAACGAUGAGUGCU